GGAAAACAGCAACCCUACAGUAAGUGGUUAUUCUUUACUAAGGUCUCAUUCUUAUAAUUCUCAAAAUUUAAAUCUUUCUUCAUUGCAAGUAAAUGAAAACUCAAAACAUAAACAUGGAAUGAGUUAAUUUCAGAUCAUUACUAAUAACAAAGAUGAUAUCUACAAUCAUUGCAUCUCAGUACUGAAGCUUUCUUGCACAGAAUUAACAUGAUGCAUGCAUGGCAGGUGGUUAGACAUCAAGCAAACAAACAGUACUAACAUAAUGCUACUAUACAUGUGGCUCUCAAAAAAGGAUACACAACUUUGACCUGAAGUGAGCUAAUUACUUACACAAUUGGGUCGAUUUAUUUAUUUACUUAUCUAAUAUAAUUAUUUAUUUUUUUAUUAUUUAUUUUCUGUCAAGAGUAUAUAGCAACUACAGGCUGUUUGUUGGAGGCUUGGAUGAACAGUCCCUGCAAGAUGUUUUGAGUGAGUAGUAAUUUUUUAAAUUUAUUCUUUUCUACAUACGGGAAGCUUAAAUAAAAGUAAAAGCUUGCUAAACUGCAGUUUAGUAAAUUAAUUAAUUAAUAAAUUAAUUAAGCUUUCAAAAGGUUCACCUAUUCAUUUCCAGAAUCGUCUCUGUGUUCUUGUCUUGAAACAUUUAAAAUCGUAGAAGAAAAGUUCCAGUUUGAUAAUGAAGAAAAAUGAGAGUGAAGCCACUGGUUAACUCGUGUUUUUGUAGAACAGAAUAAGGGUGUGAGGUGGUAAGAAGCCGUCCUAUCAUCAUAACAGACAGUAAGUCUUCUUUCGAUAACUGCCUAAAAAGUGUUAUCUGUUCUGAAUAGUAAUAAUAAAAGUAUUUGUAUAUAAUUGAUAUUGACGUAAAUCCACCUUUAAAAAAUCCAAUUCUUUACAAAAGUGAAUAAGGUAGCAUUAGGAUCUUGUCAAAAGUCAGGCGCCAUAAGAACUGCAGACACGAGAAUCAUGAGAUAGUAGCGCCUCUUCCUUUGGAGCAGAGUGGCGCCGGGCAGACUGCGGGUUCCUAUCUGGACGACACCAUUUUCUGCUCCUGAUCAACAUUGUUUACUUCGGUUCCUCUGAGAUGACGCUGGGGAAGCCAUCUAUGAGGCCCUUAUACUCAAAGAGGAGGUGGCACAGUGGAUCCCAAUCAUGCUUGGGCUCCUCCUCAAACACUGUGCCAAUGUCAGCAUAAGCCUCGCUCACAUGGUGGAUAGCAUCAGUCAGUCCUGGGGCACCUAAUGAAGAAAGAGAAAAGUUACCUAAAAAAUAAUGGAAGGAAUCCCUACUUUAGAUAUCUUUUAUGUUAUGUUAUCUUCUAAUCACUUGUGUAAAAAUGUCACAAAUACUAUUAUUCUUUGUUCUUACUAUUCAUUACAAAAGUUCUUUAUUAUACUAUCUAGCUCUAUGUAGCUUCACCAUUCAUUAUUAAUGUACAUGAGACAUUGUGAAAGAUGUGAUGAUGAAAAUUUUAAGUAUGAUAGCAUUACUUGCCAAAUAUAGUGUUUAUAGCUGUAUUCACAA